UUUCCUGUAUUAAAAAAAACUUCUUAGUGUUUCUGCAGAAAUUCAGAGAGCUGGCAAUAGUAAAGCCAUGUUACAAGCCUUAAAGACAUUAAAGUCAUUAAGGUGUCUGAAAAUGGCUACAUGA